GGAGACUACAGACCUGACCUUUUGUCAGCUUUGGCUCCCAGCGAUAUCACGUAAUAAAGCCUCUUUACCUCGAAGUCUAAAGCUCCAGUGUGUGACUGAAUUAAUAUCUUCAACAAUCUGGUGUAGUUGACAGAAUCCCUAUCUUUACGGGUUCCGGACAAAUUGAUAGGAAUAAGCGAAAGGAGUUUGCGAGGCAUUCGAGUUUCCCCGGCUGGUAACCCACGUUGAGCCACUCUGACCCGAUCUCGGGGAGAUUGGAAAGACGGGACGGGCAAGACCACGUGUGGAAGACAAACUCGUUGAGAAAUAAGUGGACAAUUAGGACAAUUGGAACAAAAGAACAAAACAGUCUGGGAGGCUUCGAGGACUGAGGCAAUGGAUACCUGAGUACCGACGCAAGAUAAUCCGCCGAAGGACGGCUCCAUGCGAGGACAUCCCACUGAAAUCGAAUGGACUGAAGAACGUCGCAGAGCCUUGGCCAAGCUUUAGACUGCACUGGGCAUUGCAGAUUACAACGAGGCUUUGCACUCUAGAUUGAGUCACUGUAAUCUAGGAGAAACAAGAAUAAUAAAAUUGCUUAAAGCUCUGAAGAAACAUCACUGUCAAAUGGAGGAUCUGAGGUAGUGCCAGGCAAGGGGCUGAAUCUACCCAUAUUCUGGCAAGUGCCAUUUUCGUCAGCUUUCCCAGAGGAUUUCUCCCUGUGAUGCCAAGUGAGAUUUUUUUCACACUAUCGUCCAACACUUGCCUCAUGAAUUCCAUAGCCCACCCCUCUCAUCUGAUGCUAGUCUAAUUCUUCCCACUUCUAUCUCAGCCAAUCCCUUGACUUCUCUGAUUCCUGGAGAAAACAACCUACAAUAGGACACAAAGAACAGAGCUAUCUCAUGUC